UACGUAGGGGGCUAGCGUUGUCCGGAAUCAUUGGGCGUAAAGCGCGCGUAGGCGGUCAGGUAAGUCCGGUGUGAAAGUCAAAGGCUCAACCUUUGAAUGCCGCUGGAUACUGCCUGACUUGAGUCCGGAAGGGGCGAGUGGAAUUCCUGGUGUAGCGGUGAAAUGCGCAGAUAUCAGGAGGAACACCAAUUGCGAAGGCAGCUCGCUGGAACGUAACUGACGCUGAGACGCGAAAGCGUGGGGAGCAAACAGG
rnacentral:rRNA from 1 species